rnacentral:lncRNA from 1 species
UUGGUCGAUGGAUGCAGUGAUGCAUAAGAAGUUGACUAAUUAAAUAUCAAUUCAUUUUUUGCAACAAGCAAAUAACUAUAGAAAUUUGAUUAAUCGAACCAAAAGUAAAUGCCGCAUUAAGAUUUCCAGAAAAUACACAAAUCCGCAUAACUUUCAAAUUCACGAAAUACAAAUGAAGUCAUUGAUUCCAGAUAUUACAAAAACAAGACGUCGCAGAGUCACAGUAUCGAGUUUUUCGGUUCUCAAAAUAAGAAGGAAAAAAAAGAGUAGUUUCACAUUAGUUUACCGAGCACAAUCCCCACAACCAAUACAACCAACGUCAUCAACAGAAUGGCGGUAUGGAAUUGAAGGUAACCUCUAUGAGAAUUCAAGCCCAUGCUUUGGUUCACAACCUCAUCCAUCGGCUGGUGAGAAACUCUUAAAGGGGAACCUGCAGAAGUCGAUGACGUCUUGGAGUAGUAACCAUGAUAUUCGUCGUACCAAAAAAAAACCCUUGGUAUGGUUGUCUUCAAGUGGACAUUUAUAGUAAAAUCGCCUAGGAAAAUUGGCUCCAAGACCCACGCGCUUGUUUCUGUGACCACAGCUACAUGGACGAAUGUUUGUUGACAUCUCAGGCAUAGCUUCCAUGCUACGAAACACCACAACCCGAUAAACAUAGAUUCACACUUCACAUAACCAAAAGAAAGACAGUAAGCUACUGAAAUAGAAAUUUUAUUGAAAAAAGAAAAGUUCAAAACCCUUGAAAGCACAAGCGCAGACUAAGGGCCGAGCCUCCAAAACAACGAAACGGGAGGAGGCGGAAAGUCAACCUCAGAAGCUCCGACCGAACUAUUGCCCCUAGGAUAUCCAGCCUCCAAAAACCCGAACCAGAACCCAAAAGCAAAAGCAACGCCUGAGACAGCAGGGGCAGUGAAAGACAUAUGAGUGCGAGCCAGCAAGACUAAGAGAAGAAUUGACCGUCCUCGUAGAACGAGUCGCCGUCGUCCAGCAUAUCUCCCCAUCUCUUAGAAACAACAGCCGACAUAGCUCGAGCUGCGUCUGAAGAAGAAGAGCGAACCACAGAAUUGUGCAUAAGCGCUCCUCCAGACUCAGCAUUUGGCACUUUAUUCAAGAACUCCACCGGCAACGGAGUGUCAAGAACGGCGCCCUUAUUCCUGAGCCGACUUUUUAUACUGUCAAUCGGAUUCAGUGGAUCUUGCGGACGUUCCAUACCCUUUUUAGGUCGACCCGGUCGACGCUUAGGGUUGUCAACGAGCAUUUGCAUCCCCUGACUAACCUGCUCCUCUAAUUUGCUAAUACGACUAGCCAACUCCUCCUGAUUAGAAUGUGUAGGCUCAAUGACCAACCGAGAUGCAGAAUCAUCUACCAUGUCCAUGGACGGAACCACGGCACACUGUAUUAUGACCUCCUUAUGCUGCCCAAACUUCGCAACGUCCUGCAGUGUAGAACCCUCAGACCCGGUCGUGUCCUCCCUCUGUGAUCGCGUUGCCGAGCUUGCGGCCUCGCGAUCGUCUGCAAUGAUCUCCUCAUGCACGGAUCUGUCAGAAUCCUCCAUAACAAUCGUGUCCUCCUUGAAAGCUUGAGCAUCCGAAUUCUGAACCGGUUUCAUUGAGGACUUCAAAUCUGAUCCCGAAAGCAAGUCCUCUCUACGUGCUGCCAUAUUGUCUUUUUUCUCUAACUCCAUAUCCUCCAGCACCUCAAACCGAUUUCUGUUUUCCACAGAAUUCUUCCCAACAGUAACUUCACGUCUGGGCGAAGACUCCUCAUGAUUAUCCAGCUUAGCAGUACAAGGCACUGCAAUCGCGUGCUGUCGAGAACGGCUCCUAAUUUUCUUCCAUUGUCGAGAUCUAUUGCUAUGCUUCCUGCCCCGCAAACUAUUAUCCUGUACUUUCUGUUUAGUCGGAGAGGCAGGCUCUAUGCCCGAUUUCCUGCAUUCAUCAGUGGCAUGGCCAAUCGCAGAACAAAGACUACAGAAGUAUGGCAAAUUCUCAUAUCCAAACUCAAUUUCGUAAAUAUCAUCAUCACAUUUAACAUCAAUAAACUCAGGAAUUUCCAGGGCCACAUUCAUCUCAACUAACACCCUAGCAAAAUAACCAACUGAAGCCCUAGCAGACAUGUCAUCAACGAGAAUAGGAGUGCCAACAUGCCUAGCUAUACCAGAGAGAACUUCAGGAUGCCAAAACUCAUGUGGGAGAUUAAAGAUACGGACCCAAACCUGAGCAGUAGAAGAAACAAUCUUGUUCGGAUUGAAGUUGGGAGUCCAUGCCUGAAGAAAAAGGAUCCCCACACGAAGACGCCAAGCGGAUUUUGCAAAAGCCAAGGCAUAACCCUCAGGUGACGAGAACUUCAAAGUAAAAUAUCCCUUGCCUAGAGGGAUAACCUGCCAUGGAGACGACGUUUUCCAGAGGAUAGAGAGCUCAGUAAAAAGAUCAGCCGCAAAUCUCGGCGUAUCGCUUUUGCGAAGGAAAACCCUCCCAUGAAUGGCAUGCUGAAAGGCUUUGAUUUGUCGUUGACGGAAGGCUUAGUAGAUAGAAAGACACGGCCUGUCGCCCACCAUUGCGGGUUUCAGCACCGCAAAAUCAUGAGCAGGGACGUCUGCGAGACGCCCCGAAGAUUGCCUAAGAGUCUCGACAAGCGACUUCACGGGAGAAGUACCGGAUGAACAUCGGGCUUCUCCACCCCGGCCUGGCUCCAAAAGCAAAUACAGCUGCUCCGGCUGCCCCGAACGGAGAAGGCCGACGUCGCAGUAAGAGGAGGAAUGAUCCCGCGAAUACGAGGUAGUGACGGAGUCCGCGAACGGCGACAAAGAACUACCCACUGACGAAGAAGGCAUCGCCAUGCUGUUGUCACUCUGGCCUGCACCAGUUACCGUCAUAAGCGAAACAGCCUUGGGAACCCUCGUCUCCAAAAUCGACGUCGAGACAAGAACCUUGGCUGCGACAAACUCGGAAAGAGACGGAGGAGGGGGCGCGUCCAUGAUCGGAUCCUUAGACCCCACCGUGGGUGCAGCCGCCCUGGGACCAAGGCCGAACUAACAGCGCACCAAGGUUGCGCCGCCAGGCCCAUGGGCGAGGCCUUAGUUGCCGCCAUAAUAUUAUCAGACGCUGGAACUUUCGGGAACAGGGAGCAGUCACGGGAGAAGUUGAAGCCAAUAGGCAAAGCAUCGUCGGAAGAGAGAUCUGCAAGAGAGCAUGGAGCCGGAACCGGAUCAAAAGUUUUAGGGUUAAACAGCGGCGGCUGGAGGAAAACCCUAGGCAGAACGGUGGUGUGUAACGGAGGACAAUGGAUAAAGGGUACAAUUGAUACAAAAUUGAUAGUUCAAGAUUUAAAAAAUUAUUUUCAAUAGUUCAGGAUAUAAUUGAUAGUGCAAAAAUAGUUUGGGGUUUAAAGUGAUAUUUACCAUUUUAUUAUAUAUUAUUUAAACUUAUCAUAUGGAUAUACACAAGAAAUUCUAUAAGAUAUUUAUAUCAUGUAACACAUUGACAUAAAUUUAUAUUUUUAACAAUGAAGUUGUAUAAGUUUAGUUACUCUAGAAUACAAUUGCAAUCAUAUUUAAUUUUUUUCCCCCACUUUAUUAUCUUAAGAAAGUAUAUUUAUUAUGUUUAGUACAAUCAAUGUAACAUACCUUAUAAUAGUAAAUUGAUGGUUAUUUUAUAAAGAGACACUCUCCCGUGCAACUGGUUGCAGCGUGCAACUGAUUUUUGUAUGUUGAAGUAGUGUCGUUUUCCGAAUGAAGUAAUGUCAUUCUGGAAACCAGUUGCACGGUGCUUCAAGUGUCAUUUGUAUGUUGAAGUAGUAUCAUUCGUAAAUGUUCAAGUGUCAUUUUCUGAAUGAAAUAAUAUCAUUCAGGAAACCAGUUGCACGGUGCAACCGGUUGCACAUGAGUAUUUGUGUUUUAUAAAAUUGCAUAUACGAAUAAAAUAGUUAUUUUAUACUAUUCAUUAUACAUUGAAUUAUUUUAUUUUUAUACAAGAAUAAAAUAUUAAUAUUUGACGAUACAUUUAUAAAAAAGUUAUGUUAAUUUAUCUUUAAUAAUCCACGAAAGAGAGUUCAAAUAAGUGAAUUUAGUCGAAUGAUCUUUGUACACUAAUACACAAGAGUUUUGUACUUCCUAUGUCCCAUUAUUAAUGACACGUAUUCAAUUUUGGGUUGUCCCAACCUAAAUGACACGUUUCUAUUUUGGGAAAUAAUAAGGGCUCACUUAGGCCUUAAUUUAAUCACUAAUUACAUGCCUAAAAACAUUCCUAACCUAAUUAAAAUUCAUUUCCUACUUCAUCUCUCUCUCUCUCUCACCCCUACCAGCCGCCUCCUUUCUCCCUUCAAAAUUAUUGGCCACCACUAGUGUUGCCAAGGGCCGAUCGGAAUCGGCGGUUCGACCCUGAACCGGCCCGGUGGUCAACGGUUCCGACCCGGACCGUUGACCACCGGGCCGGUUCAGGGCCGAACCGCCAAUUCAUCCGGGCCGGUUAAGGUUCAAAGGGUUGCCAACCCUGAACCGCCGGUCCGGCCCGCCGGUUCUGCCCGGAACCGCCGCGCCCAGCGCGGGGGCCGAGGAGAGCUGCUGGGCUGGCUGAUAAUUUGAGGUAAGGGUAAGGGUAAGAGUAAAUUACUUUCUUCUAACAUUUUCACUAAACAUUUUAGGAGGGAACCCGCUCCUAAAGAUACGUAGGCCACUCAAUUUUAAUAUUUAUAUUAAAAUUGAGCUCAAGCCCUUAUUUUUUUUCCCCCCUGUUAGACAAUUCUCUUUCGGAAUUUAUUGUAAAUUUGUAAUGAAUUAGUUAUUUAGUUAGUGUUAGUUAGUUUACUUAUUCAAUUUUGAAGAUUGUACUUUGUAUCCUUAUAAUAUUUUUUGUGUACAUAGAAUAAAUUCAAUUUUUAUGCAUUAUUUUGAUUGUCAAUGUGUUAGAAUUAUUUUUCUUUUAUUGUAUUUCAAUUUUCAACACAAGUCAUUUAAUAAAAAAACAAGCACAAGCAUUACUUAAGAAUUAAGAUGACAUGAUAUUAAUUAAAAGAACACAAGUAUUACUUAAGAAUUAAGAUGACGUAACAAAAUAUUAUGUUAAAAAUAUAUUAAUUGUCAUGUUUAUAAAAUAUAAAUUUUCAACACAAGUUUAUAUUUUAUAUUGUAAGUUGAAUUAAAAUUUUGAAAUUUCAUCACAAAUCAUUUAAUUUCAUAAAAUAUAAAUUUUCAACACAAGUCAUUUAAUUUAAAAAUAUGACAUAGAAAAUAUUACAUAUUUAUAUUUUUGAUUUCAACACAUAUUUAUAUUUUAUAUUGUAAGUUGAAUUAAAAUUUUGAAAUUUCAUCACAAAUUCACAAUCAUUUAAUUUCAUAAAAUAUUAAUUUUCAACACUAGUCAUUUAAUUUUAAAAUAUGACAUAAAAUCUAAUUUAAUUGCAAAAAGGAAAAAAAUAUGACAUAAAUCAUUUAAUUUCAUCACAAUCAUUAAAUUUUCAACACAAGUCAUUUAUAUUAUAUAUUUUUAAGAUUUAAGUUGAAUUAGAAUUUUGAAAUUUCAUCACAAAUCAUUUAAUUUCAUAAAANNNNNNNNNNNNNNNNNNNNNNNNNNNNNNNNNNNNNNNNNNNNNNNNNNNNNNNNNNNNNNNNNNNNNNNNNNNNNNNNNNNNNNNNNNNNNNNNNNNNNNNNNNNNNNNNNNNNNNNNNNNNNNNNNNNNNNNNNNNNNNNNNNNNNNNNNNNNNNNNNNNNNNNNNNNNNNNNNNNNNNNNNNNNNNNNNNNNNNNNNNNNNNNNNNNNNNNNNNNNNNNNNNNNNNNNNNNNNNNNNNNNNNNNNNNNNNNNNNNNNNNNNNNNNNNNNNNNNNNNNNNNNNNNNNNNNNNNNNNNNNNNNNNNNNNNNNNNNNNNNNNNNNNNNCCUCGCGGAGAAGAAGCCUCCUUCCUUGAUUUGUUUGGUUUGUGGAUAUGUGGAUUCGAGAGGAGGCCGUGGAUUUGGGGAUGAAGGGAAGUAGGCAGUGCGUUUGAGGAUUUAGGGCUCCGAUUUGGGGCUCCACCACCUCCCACCGCCUUCGUGUUUCCAGAGCCUCCACAGCUUUCGCGUCUCCAGCGCCUCCACCGCUUGCCUUCGCAUCUCCACAGCCUCUGCGCCUUCGCGCCUCCGCCGCCUCAACCCGACUUCCACCCGCGCUGUCCACCGGCGUGUUGCCGCCUUCGCCACACCACUGCCCGCGUCGAUUUGUUGAUUUUAAUUUCAAUCGUGCUUGAAUUUUAAUUGUUGAUUUGGAAUCUUGCUUGGAAUUUGGUUGCUUUGAAAUCUUGGUUCUUGGAAUUGUCGAUUUGGAUCUGAAAUUCUGGAAAUUUGGUUCUUGGUCUGAAAUUUUGGGUUUAUUCUGGAUUUUUGUUUAUUCUGAAAUUUCAAUUUUAAUUCUGAAAUUUUGUUUGUUAAUUUGGUUCUAGAAUUCCAAGCAAGAGGCAUUUGUGUCGAUUUUGAAUUCGAUAUUGCUUGAAAUUUCGACCGCCCCUUGAAUUGUCGAUUUGUUUGUGAGCAAUCUUGCUUGAAUUUGUUGUAAUUAAUCACUAAUGUAAUACUGAUGACUAAUUUAUUUAGCAACUAAACCACAACUAACACGGUGUAAUUGUAGCAUAUAUGUAGCAACUCCAGUAUCGUAUCCUCAGGACUGACACAACGAAAUAACUCUAGCUAUCUUCUAAACAAACUAUAAUAGUAGACAGACAAACGAAUAUGAGGAAGGUUUAAUUAGAACUAAACUCAAACAACAGCAAAUAAAAUCACGUAGAAAAAUCAAAUAAUAAAGACAACUGAUCCUAGGGUAGUAAAUUCAUUAACUAAAUCCACAUAAUAAAUCUAUUAAUCCUAUUAACCAAUUUUGAUCCAGUUAUGAUGAGAGAUCACUUAAUUAAUCAAUUACUCUCGCUAGAGCAGCAACGAUCGUAGAUUAGUAAAUUCUCUAUCUCCGCUAGGUCUCAAGAAAAAUCACUAACUCCCAAAAGCGCAUAAGAAUAGCUCCCCAUGAUCCACCUACCUCCGUUAGGUCUCAAGGUUAAAAUCAUAUAUAUCAUAUAUUCCUGAAUCCGCUAAACAGUUAUCUCCGCUAGGUCUCAAACCGAAUAGCUAAACAUGCAAACUAGUGAUCAGAUAAUUCACAAGAUAUCAAGCACCAUGAAUUAUGAAUCAUAAACUGGAAGGUAAAUAUGUACUAAUAAAUAAAUCACAUGAAUCUAAUUAACUAUUUACAAACCUAGAAUCAGAAAAGAAAACUAGCCAGACAUAUUAAAGUAAAACAUAAACAUAAUUAAAAAGACAUCAAUUGAAAGAAAUGAAUUAAAUAAAACUGAAUGAAAAUCUUGAAUCUUCAAUCCUUGCAGAAUUCCGAUCCAAGCUCUAAAAACUGGAACGCAAUAAAAAUCUAAAGCUAUGAAACUGAAAAACUAAAGUUGGGAACCCUAGAUAGGUCAAAAGAGGACCUAUUUAAAAUGUCAGGAUAAAAUACAGUGUUUGAAACCCAGAAGAACUCCAAAAAUCAGAAAAUCCCGCACAAAAUCUCGAUUUGACGGUCAAACUCGGUGCCCGCCGACGUUGGGGCGUUCAAAACCAAUCAAAAACGGACGCCCGCCGAAUUGGUUCGCCGAUUUUCUUCUUUCGAAAUAGCCCAUUUUCUAGCGGUCAACGGAGUUUGACCGCUGAGUUUUGUACUGUUGCGCGCGAUGUUUUUGUUUCGGUUCAUAACUUUCUCAUCCAAGCUCCCAUUUAUGAUCCAUUUAUGGUCACAAAUUCGUAUCGAGACGAUCUAAAAAUUCUAUUUCAGAACAUUUUUUCAAAUUCGAACUAAAUAAUCCUGAAAAUUCCUUCAAAGUUCGAGUAAGAAUCAUGUUUCACAAGAUAAAACAAUUUAAACACAAACAAUCAUCCAACACUCAAUUUCCUCUAUAAUUAAUAUCAAAAGAACAUUAAAACCAUGGAAACUUGAGUGUUGUCAAAUACCUUUACCUCACCUCUAUACACUAAACUUGUUCUCCUUAAUCUCCAUGCCCAAAAGCAAUGUCCCAUAAAUAAUGGGACGGAGGGAGUAAUAUUUUUUAGAUGGGAAAUGGGAAUGGUGGGGAUUGAACCAUAAGCCUCUAUACUGCUUGGAUGUCCUCUUAUAAGUAUAUUCCCUCUGCCUCAUAAGAGUGUGCAUGAUUGUUAGUGGAAGAAUGGACUCAGUUUUAUUAGUGAAAGAAGGAGUCCAAAAAAGGAAAGUGCACACUCUUGUGGAAUAUCCCAAAAGAGAAAAUAGUACACACUCUUAUGGGACGGAGACUGACGGAGGGGUAUUUUUUUUACUAUUAAAAUAAAUAAUAUAUUGCCUACGUCAAGUGCCCCGGGCAUGGUAUGAUAAACUCAAAAACACUCUCUACUCUCUUGGCUUUAAGAGAUUUGUCUCUGAUCAUUCCCUCUUCUACAAACAUUCUAAUGGCGCACUUCUCCUCAUUCUCAUCUAUGUUGAUGAUAUACUCACCACCGAACAUAGUUCUUCUGAAGUUCUGAGUCUCAUUGAUCUACUGCACAACAAGUUUGCUCUCACUUCAUUGGGUUCAGUUCACUAUUUUUUGGGUAUAGAGGUUACUAAAUCCGGCCCCAGCUAUGCUCUGUGUCAAUCUAAGUAUUUCAAAGAACUACUAGAGAAAACUAUAUGAGCUCUUGUGUCAUCAUUGCUCCACUCCAAUGACACCAGCAACUCUGCUUUCCAAAAAAGGAGGUGAGCCGUUUUCUUAUCCCUCACUGUACAGAAGCACCAUUGGUGCUCUUCAGUAUCCUACUCACACCAGGCCGGAUAUUGCUUUUGCCGUUAAUAAGCUCAGUCAGUUCUUACAUCAUCCCACAACUCUGCACUGGACUGCUUGUAAGAGAGUCUUUCGGUAUCUCAAGGUUCUAGUUCCAUGGCUCUGCACUUUGCUCCAUUUUUCUCUACUCAACUUAUUGGAUUUGCAGAUGCAGAUUACAUUAGCUGCAUCGACGAUAGGCGCAACACGUGGUUUCUAGAAGCAGCACAAAAUACGAAUACCGGUCUUUAGCUUCUGCCACUGCCGAACUACUCUGGUUAGACUCUCUAUGUCUUGAGCUUCAUCUCCCAGUUACUUCUCCCCAUAAACUGUGGUGUGAUAACUCCAGCGCCGUAGCGUUAUCUUCAAAUCCUGUUUUCCACGCUCGGACAAAGCACAUAGAAGUCGAUGUGCACUUUAUUCGAGAAAAGGUACAAGACAAAUUUUUGGAAGUUGGGCACGACCCUGCGGUUGAUCAAAUUGCUAAUCUUUUCACCAAGCCUGUUACCAAGGCUCAUUUCUGUGCUCUUCGCAACCAACUUCAUCUGGAAUCUCCGCAUGAUCAUGGAUAGAUUCAAGAGUUUUUGGUGCAUGUUGAAGUAUAUUUUAGUUAGUUAAAUGAGUCAACAUUAGUUUGUUAAGUAGUUUUGCUGAGUCAGUUUCUUGUUAACUAGUUAGUUAGUUUAACCGUGUAAUCAUUAGCUAGUUGUUGUAUAAAUACAGCUCCUAUACAUGAAAAUAUCAUUAUUGAAAUCGAAUGAAAUCUCUUCACUCACAAAGGAUCUCUCUCUCUCUCUCACUUCUCAAAUCUCCUUCUUCUCUUUACAUUUGAUAGAGGCGAGCACUUAAGUUUUGCAGAAAGAAGGCAGAUGAAAGUUAUGGAGCAAGAAAAUAAUAAAUAAAAUUUUUAGAGGAGAUGAAGACGAUUGUGAGAUAACUUUUUUCAAAGAUGGAUUAAUGUAGAUACAAAAUCUCCUGUAGACCCGGGUGUACGGUACACCCGGCUCGUACCCGACCCGAAUAUAACCUAACUGGACUAUCUUACCCGAAUGUCAAGUGUUAGUGUCAUUUCGAUAUAGUGUUAGUGUCAUUUACAUGUAGUGUUAGUGUUAUUUAAAUAUAGUGUUAGUGUCAUUUCAAUAUAGUGUUAGUAUUAUUUUUGAAAUAGUGUCAUUUCUAAAACAAAAUAGUGUUAGUGUUAUUUUCGAAAUAGUGUCAUUUAUAAAACAAAAUAGUGUUAUUGUCAUUUCAAUAUCGUAUUAGUGUUAGUGUUAUUUUGUAUUAGUGUUAGUGUCAUUUUAAAAAAAAAUGAGUUAGAAUCCGGAUCGAGUACAACUUGAAUGUACAGGAGACGAGCUCUAAUGUAAAUCAUAAUUUGGAGAGAGAGAGAUAGAGAGAGUUUAUGCAAUUAUUCUCGUCUAGUUUGGGGGCAUUACAUUGGGUUGCUUAUGAGAAUUUUAAUCAUAAUUUGGAGAGAGAGAGAUAGAGAGAGUUUAUGCAAUUAUUCUCGUCUAGUUUGGGGGCAUUACAUUGGAUUGCUUAUGAGAAUUUUAUAUUUCCGUAUGUUGCUUUCUUUAAGGCAUUAAUUAGAAUUUAAUUAUGGGGCUACAAGAAUAAAAUAGUAUAUUUAUAAUUAUUUUUUAUUUUUAAAAAUAAGAAGUUAUAGUGGAUAAAAUAAAGGCCAUGUAUAUUAUCACAAUGAAACAAUAAAUCUAAGGGCUAAUUGCCUGUAAAUUCCUAACGUUUACACGGAAUUGGUUUUUGCACCUAUUUUUAAUUUUCUACUUGUAAAUACCUAACCUUUCGUUUUUGUCUCAAAUUUGUCCGGUCACCGGUUUUUUCUUACGCCGGCGUCGGAAAUGCCACUGUGGCAGCCGGAAUCGCUGAUUUGGCAGCCGGAAAUUGACACAUAGCCUAUUCAUUGACACGUGGCAAAUUUUUUUAAAAAAAAGUAAAAUCCCACCCCCCCACCGUCUUCUUCCUCUCCCCUCUGCCACCACCACACGCCGGCGCCACCACCACCAGCGUCGCCCCCUGCCGCCACCACCACCCUCUCCAUCCCAGAGCCGACCAAGGCAGCCGUGACGACCAAGGCAGCCGUGCUGGAGGCCGUCGCGGAGGCGCUGCGCCUCGGCCUCGUGGAGUCGCGCGACGCCGCCACUUCCCCCCACACAAUUCUGUGAAAUUUCAGAAAACUAGGGUUUGGGGGUGGGGAAGACGAUGGGUGGAUCUGGGCGCUCAAUUGAUGGAGGGGGCGGCGUCGCCGCCUCGUAGUGUUNGGCUAAUUGCCUGUAAAUUCCUAACGUUUACACGGAAUUGGUUUUCGCGCUUAUUUUUAUUUUUCUACUUUUAAAUACCUAACCUUUCGUUUUUGUCUCAAAUUUGUCCGAUCACCGGUUUUUUCUUACGCCGGCGUCGGAAAUGCCACUGUGGCAGCCGGAAUCGCUGAUUUGGCAGCCGAAAAUUGACACAUAGCCUAUUCAUUGACACGUGGCAAAAAAAUUAAAAAAAAAGUAAAAUCCCACCCCCCUCCCGUCUUCUUCCUCUCCCCCUGCCACCACCACAAGCCGGCGACCACCACCAGCGUCGCCCCCUGCCGUCACCACCACCCUCUCCAUCCCAGAGCCGACCAAAGGCAGCCGUGACGACCAAGGCAGCCGUGCUGGAGGCCGUCGCGGAGGCGCUGCGCCUCGGCCUCGUGGAGUCGCGCGACGUCGCCACUUCCCCCACACAAUUCCGUGAAAUUUCAGAAAACUAGGGUUUGGGGGUGGGAAGAGAAGGGGAAGACGAUGGGUGGAUCCAGGCACCUCAAUUGAUGGAGGUGGAAGACGAUGGGUGAAAAGAGAUCUGGGCGCCACCACCACCACCACCAGCACCAAAUUCGUUCAGUCCUUCCCACCACCAGCACCAAAUUCACAGCAAACAUCAAAUUCUGUCAUCAAAUCCUCCGAGCACGAAUGAAAUUGAGAAUGAGAAAAAAGGUCUCCACAAUUGGAGCGUUGAAGGUCGACGGGGAGGGCCGACGCGGGUUUGGAAAGUGGGAGGCGGAGGGGGAAGUGGCCGCGCCGAGGUGGGAAAGGGGGGAGGGCUGAUGCGGGUCUGAAAAGGGGGAGGGGGAAGGCGACACCACAAUUGGAGCGUUGAAGGUCGACGGGCACUGGUGGUGGCGGCGGUGGUGGAGGUGGCAGGGGGCGCGCCGGGUGGGGGAGGGGGGGAAGGGGGAAAAGACGAUGGGGGGAGGGGAGAAAUUUUCUUUUCUUUUCCACAUGUUUUUUUUUUUAUUUUAAUUUUUUCAUAUAUUUUUUCCACAUGUCACAAAAGUGACACCAUGUUAAUUUCCGGCUGCCACCUCAUCAGUUCCGGCAGCCACAGUGGCAUUUUCGGCGCCGGCAUAAGAAAAAACCGGUCACCGGAUAAAUUUGAGACAAAAACGAAAGGUUAGGUAUUUAAAAGUAGAAAAAUAAAAAUUGGUGCAAAAACCAAUUCCGUGUAAACGUUAGGGAUUUUACAGGCAAUUAGCCCUAAAUCUAAACAUUGUUAGAGCAUCCGCAUUGAGGGUUCCUUGAUAGCCUACUUGAUAACCUACUUGAUAGUGGUUGUGUUAUUGAGUAGGUAGUGCUGCAUUGGGGUUCCUUGAUAGCCUACUUGAUUUUUUUUUGUUUUUAAAGAGGAGAGAGAAAUUUUUAAAGAGGAGAAGAGAAUUAAAAAAAAAAGAAAAAAAAAAAGAAAAUCACUCGAGCAUACUCGAAAACUCGAGUAGCACUCGAGUAGCUCCUCCCUGCAUGCAACGCCUACUCAAGUGCAAUACUCGAGUUCGAGUAAGGCAUCGAGGAUGCCGUUGCCAAUGCUCUUAGGCUCACACAAAAGGUGUCAAUAUGCUAUUAUUUAAGCGAAAAUUAUAGCCGAUUUUUUUUUAUCAACAUUCAAGAUUUCGUAUAUACCUUUCCUAUUUCUCUAGAUGGCAAUAAAAUAAGUGGACAAAAUCUUGAAAAAUUCAAAUUAUGGAACUUUUGUCAAUCGAAUUUGCCUGAAAAGCACACACACUCAAAGAAGUGCCUUUGAGAAUUCUUGGUUACUUGUUGUGUUUGAUGAGAUGCAUUCUUGGAGUCGUCUCUAAUUUGUGGUUGCUCAUCCUUCAUCUUUUUGGCAUCAUCAUAUACCACACUAACUUCACAAUAUUCAGGUGCAUAUUUCUUGACAUAUUCGCCCUUCCCUACACCCUUCCUCGAUAACCUAAACCAGAUCACAAAUUAACAAUAAAUAAACUAGUCAUCCACAUUAAAAUACCCACUAUUGUAAUGGGAAUUAAUUAAUUUACCUUGAGAAGGGUGAUUGUUUAGUUCCCAUCACAAGAUGAGUGAUGUUAGCAACACCAAUGAGUUCCAAAAUGGCCUUGCCUGAUGCAUUGCUCUCUACUAGCAUUGUGUCUACACUUAUCUGCGCAAUAAAUUAAGUUUACCCACAAUUCUUGUUAAUUAAUACUAUGCCUUAUCUCUUUCAUUGAAAAUUUAUUGCAAGAACAGAGAAAGAUGAGAUUUUUUUUCUCUCCAUAUUUUAAUGUUCCUAAUUUUUUAUCCCAUGGUUUCUAAGGUGAAAGAAUAUAGAUAAUUAUUAUCAUAUCAAUACUCCACGAUAAUAUUAUCAUAAAAAAUUAAUAAAAAUAUAGUAUAUUUUUCUCUAUUUACAUCAAAGAGAACGCAGCCUUAUAUUGAUUUCUAUUUAUUUGUCACACAUAAUGUUACGAUCGUACACACCUUGGAGUCGUUGCAGAGUUGAAUGUACUUGUCCAAGAGGUGUUUCCUCUUGUUGCUUUCCUCCCUUAUAUAAACCUGCAGCUGAUCUUUGCUAAGCUGGCUUCUUGAUAGCCUCCCAACUGUCAUUAAUUCUUGAUUAGACUCGUUAAUUAUUGCAAUAAACUGCCAAAUUAAAUUCCUAACUAAUUAAACUGUCAAACAAGAAAAAUAAUGAUGAAGAGCGGACCUGGCGUGGGGACGUAGGUGAUCGGAGAGAAAACGUGGACGAGAAAAACACGACUCUCUGGCGAGACGACAUGAUCGAGAGCCCAUCUGAGCACGUGCAAAUCGUGCUUACCAACAGCAACAUAUACAUCACCACCAUCUCUGCUGGCGGCUGUGCUAUUACUCUCCUCCGCAAUCUCUACUAUCUCCGGCGACGACUUUGCUGCCAAAUUACGAUACUGCCCCUCCUCCAUAUGUAUCACUCUAAUUCACACAAAAGAGGAAAACAACAAGUAUGAGUGAUGAGGUUGUAAGAAAAGGGUCGUUGCUUUCAAAGCCAUGAAGGAGUAAAGAAAAUCACAAAAUAAAAAAGAGUUUGAUUUUUUUUUUAACUUUUUUUCAUGUCACAACUCACAACCUGUGUCGUGUGUGUGUGAGUGAUUGCAUAUACAGCAGAGACUUUGUGCUUUUCUUUUUGUCUAUGGCCACUUGUUUACAAAGUAUUUACCAUUUUGAGUUGACUUGGUGUGAGUGAGGAUUAUUUUUGGUGUUGUGUAGAUUUGCACUCUCAUUCUACUCUUUUUUUUCUUCUUCUUCUUACUUCUUCAUUUACUUGUAUUUGUUGUUCAAAUUAUAGCAUAAGCUAAAAUUUUCAACCAUAUAUCGAAUUAGAAAUACAAAUGUAUAAAAAACAUCAGAUAGCCAAGUGUUUGAAUAUACAUAAUUCAAUUAGAUGAUCAGCUUCAAUUGGCUAGAAAUUUUAACCCAGACUAUAAAUCGAACAACGAAAAUAAACACUCCCUCCAUCUUUAAAUAAAUAUCAUAAUCUAGAGUUUCUUUUUGUCUCCUUUUAAGUGUCAUAUUGUGAAAUUUUAGAGUAAAAUUGAAUUAAAUUUUCAAUUCUACUCAUAUCUUAAUAUUAGAAUUAAAUGCAUUCUCUUUAUUUGCUAUUCCACUUAAUAGAGAGAGAGAACUAAAAUUUGAAAUCUUAAAAUUAGAAAAUAUAAUUAAGGAUAUACAUGCAAAAUUAUACUCCUUAAUAUGUGUAAAUUUAUGUCAUAUGACACUUAUUUGAAGAUGAAGGGAGUACAUGCUAUAUUUAAAAUAAUUAUAAAUUUGAAUUAAAAAGCCAUCAUUAAUUUAAUGUAUGAGCUAUUUUGAUAAGAAUAACUUUUUUCUUUCAUUUCCUUUGGAUUAUUUAUACCACUAGAAACCCUUACAUAUAAUUGUUCCAAUUUUUUUCAUGCGAUUGAGUUAUAUAAUAUUUUGGGAUUUGAAGCCGAAAGUAACAUGAUUUAAUUAUUUAAUGUUAGUUAAGGAAGGGAUAAAGAUAAUGUAAGAAUCUUUUGAUAGUCGCCACUCGUGUCUGUUUCUUCAUGGCUCAUCGCUAUUCCACUUUUUUGUAGAGCCAUAAUUGGAAAGAUGGUUUCUUUACGUGGGUCUUCAUUUUCUCGAAUCAUAAUUAAUUAGAGUCCACAAAGAAUGAUACGUUAAUUUCAACAUUUGCCACUAGAAUAAGCUUACCAGCCAUGUAAUGAAGGGACUAUAUAUUCUACGUUUUGAAUUUUAAUUUUGUUUAAAACAAUUUUCGUACAAUUUGAUUUUGUAAUGAGGAUUGUUAUACAGUGAUUUGCACAAAAUAUCUAUAAGUUGAUGAUUUUAUAAUAAUAAAACAAUUCUUUUGUUUAGUAGGGUGCACGUGCUUAAGCCACCUUGAUCCUCUUGGGGCCAUCUAUAAUCUAUAAUGUAUAAUGUAAAAAGACAACUUUCAAUUUAAAAUCAAUUUAAUUUAAAAUUGAGUGGAAAUUUUGUAAUUAUAAUAAUAUUGAAGAUUAAUUUGUAAAUUAUAUUUUUCCUCUUUAUUUAUCUUCUUAUUUUUAUUUUUUUUUAAAUUGUGAAAUUCAGAAUAAUUAUAAAAUAUUUUAAUAUUCAUAUCAAAUUAAAGAUCAUCAUAAGAGCUUUAGUUUGAUGACGAUGAGGCCUAGCUCAUGUGACAAAGUUGAUACAUUUAAAGACUCUCCUUUAUGCAUAUGAGAGGUCUUGGGUUCAAUCAUACCUGCGUGCAGAUAGUUUUUCCACCUUUGUAUAGAUAGUGUUCCGCCUGCGUGCGGUUGUAUUUCCACAUUUGUGUGGUGUAGAGGUUUUGCCCGCGUACGAGUUGCUGAUUUGAUUAUAUAUUAGAUGUCUCUUGUAAUUUUUUUUAAAAGAGCUUUAAUUUGAUAUAUUUUAUGUAAAUAUUUCAUUUAAAAUGUAAAAUUUAUAUGAUUUAAAUAUUUAAAUUUUAAAAAAUUCUCCCUCUCCUCUCUCAUCCUUUUUUGAAUAAAUCUAUUUUUUAAUUCUUUUUUUUUUGUUUAUUUUUGCCUUUUCAUUAUAUCAAUUUUUAUUGUUGCAAUUUUUUUUUCAUAUUCUUCUCAAAUAUAUUCAGUUAAAAUUAUUUUUUUAUGAUAUUUAUAAAUAUAAUAAUUGAAUUGGUAUCAAUUUUAUAUAGAUAUUAAAAUAUAAAACAUUUUCCGUGCAUUGCACGGGGUGCAAAUACUAGUGUAAUGUAAUGUCAUAAGAUAUUAUAAUCAUCAUCAUUUGUAUCUUCCUUGUGCCUCAUUAUUAAAUUUAUUUUUUUAAUAAAAUUUAUUAAUUAAUUAUACAAAAAUUAUAAUGAACAGUAAUAAUCAUUUGUUAUUUAAAAAUUAUCCUAAUUAUGGAAUAAUUAACUCUAGUACAAUUAUUAGCUAAAAACAAAAGUUAAAUGCUUCAUAUUUUGUCCAGACAAAUUUUGUCCAAAUAGCAUUAUUGAUAAAUAUAUGUACCUAAUUAAAAGUGGAAUUGAGAAGCUCAACUGAUUUAUUAAAACUAGGAGUUCGAGUAAUAAUAGAGGGAAAUGAGAAUUAUUAUUGAUGAUAUGAAGUUUAUUAAAAGCGCAAUUUAGCAAACAACAAAUUUCGAGGCAUGCUCUAAACGAAUGAAGGUGGGCAAAAAGUUGGCACCCUUUAGCACAAGUUGACCACUUCUUGCGUAUGUAACAACAGCUCUUUAACUCCUUUCUUCUUUCUCUUCACAUGAAUGACUUUUUCCAAGAUUUGAACUCAUCAUCAAGAAUCUUUUAGACCAACUUCCAUACUCAAUUAUCUAUUAUCCCACUACACAAAAAGAUGCAUUUAUAUAAAACACACAUAUUCCAAGUAGUUCUAAAAUUUAGUUCUAACAAGAAACAAAUAGUUCUAACAAGAAACAAACUCAGAUUCUUCCCAAAAAACCAAACAAACUCAGAAAUGAAACUCUUAUUUUUCAAUUUUGAUGUGCGCUGGUGUAGAAAAAAGGUGUUUGUUCGUCGUAAUUUUCCUACAACAAGAAAAAAGAUUAGUGGGUAAGUUUGGACCAUAAUUCCACUACAAUGAUGUUGGACCAAUGAUCUCAAAAAGCUAGCUGAUUGAGAGGUAUGCAUAUAUAUAGCAAACUGCAUAUAAAAAUAAAUAAAAAAGUAUUAUUAUUUAUAUCAUCAUGCUCGCGUCACGGUGCCAAACGACACAGUGUGUGUUUUCAGUCGCCAUGAUCCAUUAUCUCCAGUCUUGAGGCAAAACACAGUCCAAAUUAGCAUAAUGUUUGAGAUGAAAAACUAAAGAAAAUGAUCACACAUAUCCCAUCACAUGAUAUCGGUGCGUUGCCAAUUAGCAGCAAUACAAAUCCCUCUGCAAAAUGGUGGGGAUACUCUUCAUUUGGAGUGAUCUUCAUUUCUUACACGAGCACUAUAUAAGGUCAAGCCGAAGCCUCGGAUUCUUGAAAACUAUAAGGAUUGAAGCAUGACUAGGUUGUCUCUUUUACUACUCAAGCUACUGCUGAUCUUGGUAUUUGCUGGUUGGGUGUCACUUUGGGUUCUUAAGCCGACUGAGUUCUGGACAAGGAAAUGGAAGGGCGCAGAGGCAAAAGCAUCAGCUACCGCGUUUGGCUAUAAUGGUACGUUUCCAACAACGUUUUCAAGGCCUAGCUCAUGUUGUGUCUAAGUCAAGAAUUGUGUUUUUUCUAUGAUCAAAUUUGCACAGGCCUAGAUUUUGUGGUCUUCACGUUCCCUCUAAUCGGUCUGUCUAUAAUCGGGUUCAUCUACUUGGAACUGAAACAUGACGAACCAAGAAACAGGUAUAUAACUCACCAGAAACAUCAAACUUUUUUUCUUCGAUGCUGCUACUACAUCUACAUAUGUAACUAGUUUGAUGCAGCCUAGGAAGGACUACUGCACUCACUUCUCUCUCUAGUCCACUGUUGGUGAAUCCAUACGUAGGUAUUCUAUCGGGGGCACAGAUCCUCACCUUGUCUCUGUUCAUCAUGCUCCUUGUCUGGACAUUCUAUGUUCGUGUUUCUAAUGACUUCAAGAAGAUGACGCCGCUCAAAUCAUUCAAACUUAGCACGUAAGCAUUCAAAUCACUCCGAUCAAAGAAGCAUUCGUGUUGUGUAUAAGAUUAUAAAUUCAUCGGUACCUGGUUUUCAGAUGGCAAUAUAAGCUGUUCAGGAUGGCCACGCGCUGUGGCUUGUUAUCAGAAGCCUGCCUAGCUCUGCUGCUUCUCCCCGUGCUACGAGGGAUGUCCAUAUUCCGGUGCCUUGGCAUCCAAUUCGAGGCCUCGAUCAAGUACCAUGUCUGGCUCGGUUCUGCAAUGAUAUUCUUCGCCACUUUACACGGUGGAGGCACCCUCUUCAUCUGGGGAAUCAAGCAUAGAAUCCAAGACGAGGUAACCAACAAUCACAAACAUUGUUCAAAGCUCAAACUCUUCAUACAUUGCAUACAACAGUUGACAGCAAUAAGUCGACGAAUUUACAGAUGUGGGAGUGGCAGAAGAAAGGUCGUAUAUACCUCGCAGGAGAGAUAGCUCUAGCAACAGCUUUUGUGAUGGCGAUCACAGCACUUCCACAGAUUAGGAGGAAAUGGUUUCAAAUUUUUUACUACACACAUCACCUUUACAUAUUCUUCAUUCUCUUCUUCCUCUUCCACGGUGGAGACCGCCAUUUCUACAUGGUGUUUCCCGGAGUCUUCCUCUUCGCCUUGGAUAAACUCCUCCGUGUGGUGCAGUCAAGGCCAGAGACGUGCAUUCUCUCUGCUCGAGUCUUCCCCUGCAAAGCCAUAGAACUCACCUUACCAAAGGAUCCAAGUUAGUCCUUCAUCACUUUAACCAUCAUUUUCAAGAAAGCAUAUAUAUCAUACUAGUCUUUAUAACUUGCUGCAGGGUUAAAAUACGAGCCAACCAGCGUCAUCUUCCUCAAGAUACCGAGCAUUUCCAAGCUCCAAUGGCAUCCAUUCAGCGUAACCUCCAGCUCAAGCGCAGACGAGCACAGUAUCUCAGUCAUUGUGAAGAGUGAGGGGCAAUGGACUAGCUCCCUGCACAGCAAGAUCAUUCAUGCUGAAAAGCAAGAUUCAGAAUCAGAUAAAAGGGAAUGCAUCCCAGUCGCAGUUGAAGGUCCAUACGGGCCUGCAUCUACGGAGUUUUUAAGGUAUAAAUGUGAUCAACUAGCAUGAUUAACUUCCUAAUUCUCAACUUUAUGUCCAUGUUUAUGAUGUUCAGGUACAAUAACUUACUCAUGGUUGCUGGAGGGAUAGGGGUGACACCGUUCCUGAGCAUCUUGCGCGAGAUAACCUGCAACGGCAGAAAUGCAUAUCCAGAUAGGAUACAUCUCAUAUACAGUAUAAAGAAGUCACAAGAUGUAUGCUUACUUGAUCCAAUACUCCCACAGCUGCUAGAUAUUGAACAAUUUCACACGAAACUCAAAGUAUUCGUCACUAGGGAAAACCAAAUCGGAGUGACACUAAGAGAAGUGUUCAACGACAUUCCCAAAGCAGAAAUAACGAAUUUUAGCACUGCAAACACCACUUAUGCAGUACAUGGGCCUGAAAGAUUGCUAUGGAUGGCUGCUGUCACAGUCAUUUCUUCAGUCAUGUUUCUCAUCUCACUCGUUAUUUUCAACCUUUUGUUAUCUCACCAGCCCAGAAACCAGCAGCAGCUCAGAAGAAAUCCUCAACACAGACUGAUCUCCUCCUUGUUUGCUCUUUCACCAUAGCAAUCAUAUCCGCGGCAAUAAUGGCUAUUGCCAUAAGGUGGAAGAGGGUAACGAUACUAACAAACGAGCUUCAGUUCUUCUCCAAUAAGCAAAGCAAAGCUGUGAAACAGAGCUCACUUGAAGCAAGUAGGGAUCUUGAUGAACAUGAGAUCCAUUUUGGAGGAAGACCAAUCUUUCAAGGUAGCAUGUCUUUAACACACUAUAUUUCCUUUCAACUACAGAGAUAGAUA